UGAUGCUUCCAUUUAACAUACAUAUUUUAUUACACUAAUGUGGACAUUAAACAGUUUGCGGCAGCCAAAAAUUAAUUGAAGGCUGCAUUCGUUAAGUGAAGUAAAUUGUAAUUCAAACUACAAAUUCAGGCUAAAUUUCGGGCAGUCAGCCAUAAAAAAAAAAAACCAUCGGCAAAUACAAAUUUAAACGCACUAUCAUUAACCUGAGCUGUAUUUGCUCGCUCGCCUCUGUAAACAAAGAACGCAGAGAAAAAAUUAAUGUUUUAGCGCUGAAAUUAGUAGAAAUGAUCCUAUGCAAAUAAGGAAACCUUCAUUGUAUAGAAUUCCACGCCCUGAGAUGAAAGCAGAGCACAAUGAAAACUGAAAUCUAAUCCAGGAUUUUAACUGCUGUAACCACAAACUGAAUGAAAUAGCUUGAGUCGGUUUUGCGGUCGAUACAGUAUCAUUCUAUACCGCAGAGAGCCGAGGUUUUUCAGAUGCAGAAGGUUUUCGUUCUGGGACCGAAAACAAUGAUGAAUGGUAAAAAUGCCAGUUACAAACUGAAAUACAAGCCCAUCCUUCAAUUCUCCUUAUUGUGUGAAUACAAUUUAGAUAUUUCUCGUUGUCUUGGUGCCUUUGAAAUUGAGGACGACCAAGAAAUGUAGCAAGAUUAGUGAGAUCUCCAUAUGGAGCAACAGAAAAACUAAAAAAAUAAAGUAACUAGAUUUCGAGCA